ensembl:lncRNA
CGCCUAGCACACAGACCGUUUUUCCUUUCGUUAAACUAGCAAAAGUGGAUUCCGACAUGCCUUAACUGCACUUGUGCCUUGCGCUUUAGACUAUGAGCUUAGAUCAUUAAAAUAUGGCCCUUAGUGUCCUUUUGAGUGCACCUGCCUCCCAUGCCAGUUGAUGUUGGUUCGAAUCCCAUUUGGAGCAAUGCAAGUAGGAACAGUUGCAGUGGUGCCAUGACCCAAAUGGGAGUAAAGUUUAGGGGGUGAGUGUAACAGGGCAGCUAGUAAACAACACUAGAGGCUUUUAUGUCCUUGUGAUUGCAUCUGCCUCCCAUACCAGUUGAUGCUGGUUCCAUUCACACUCUGAGUGGUGCAAGUAAGACUAGUAACAUUGGUGCCGUGACCCGGAUAGGAGUAAGGACUAGGGGGUGAGUGUAAUGGAGGCCAGCUAAUGAAUAACAUUAGAGUCUCUGGCAUUGUGAGUGCACCUGCCUCCAAUGCCAGUUGACAAUGGUUUGAAUCCAUUUGCAGUGGUGUAAGUAGGACCAAUUACAUUGGAGUUGUGACCCAGACUGUAUAGGAUCUUGAGUGCUCAGCAAUGUAUUCAAAGUUUGAAUUCAACUUGCAAUAUCAUGUUAUAUCUUAUUAAUAAAAGUUAAAAAAAAAAAAGUGUUAAAACAUGCUAAAAAAAAAAAAAAACUGUGUAAUCUUCAGUUUCAUCUCUUCUGUCGUAAUCAGUGCGCACAUACAUACACAUAAGCAUGAGUUAACCUAGAGCAGAUAUUUUAAUGCGGGAGCUGUGGAGGUUGCUGACACAGUAAGCAAAGGGGCAGGGACAGAAACCCCUCAUUAAGAUUGAAUUAAACAGACCUUUGAUGGGAAGUCCUGCAUUAGUUCAGUCUGGCAACACAUGAAAGAGCAGUCGUGAGAGACAGGGAUCUGCACUCGUCACUCUCUCCAGCGCACACUUGCAGACAUUUCAUUUCUCAAAAAAACACACACAUAUACACACACGCACUGAAAACCACAACACUGCCACAUACAAACAAAGAUGAUGUUCAGAAUAUCACACAGUAGACUUUGGCUGUAUUUAGUAUGCUGUGCACACUAUGCAAUUUUUCUAAAUGCAGAGAAUCCUCAGAUGACCUAAUACAUUUGCCAAACAUUUCUGUGUGGAAUAUAGUAUCCCAC